GGUGUUUUAACUGGAAAAUACUGAAUUCUGGAGAGCCACAAGGAACAGACACCAUUAACAGAAUCUGCUGGAGAAAACAAAGUCAGUGUCUGUCCCUCCCUAAAAGUGCUGGUAAGAGAUUCUUCUUGCAACUUCCAGCCUCCCAUGCUGGGUAGCCCUUGGACAGGUCUGUCAAAUGACCAGGGUCCCCCACGGAGCAACAUGUUGCAUAAGUUCCUUCUUGCCAAACUAUAAUACAUUUGACCUGGAUAGUAGUAGACUGUUUACCAAAGGAUACUUUCAUAUGAAAAGAAGACCAUUUAGGUUCGAUGCCUCUUAUUACAGGUCUUAUGUCACUUACAUUUGUAAUUUGGAACAAAUUAGACAACUUGGUUUAGAGAUUAUUACGGGUUCGGUGUUACUUGCUACUGAGAGUGUCUGUGACCUGUGGGUAUUGGAACAGCCUUCAGAUCAGCCUUCAGAUAAACAGGGAAAUAUCUCAAAGCUGGCAUUCACAGGCAGACUAGCAGCAGCACUAAUAAGAUGUGGUGGAUUUGUAUUACAUUUCUGGCCUGAAAAACAGGUCACAGAUAGCUAUGCGGUACUGGAUAUGACAAACAUAGGCAGCUAAUAAAUAAACAUAUAGACAAGUCACCUUCAGAGGCAUGCAAUUACCCGUCUAGAAGGAAGCUUGCUUGAAUCUUUAGGAUUGUCUGAAAGCAAAAGUCAAUGACACAGGCUUGCAAUUUGUGUAAUCUUCUCUAAACAUAAAGAUGACAAAGCGAACUAUGACAAUUCUCCAGGCAUGUUCCUAGCCUCUCUUACUGUAAAGAUUCCCCCAUAAUCUUCCUGAAUGCUCUCAGUCUUUUUCCAGAGUUUCAGUGGAUUUAGGUCUGGCCAUGCUCUAUUGAUGGGAUCUCCGUCAACUUCAGGAAAAGGGCUUGGGAACAGAUUUGCUGGUUGGUCUAGCAGGAGCUUUUAACAGUGUAAAAUCAUGAGGGGGUCUGGAAAAUUUUGUUCAUCUUUCUGAAGUCUCCAAAGUUUAUUUCUGUCACUUUAUUUUUCCGUGAUGGCCAGUGUAUGGAAAAUGGCAACAUAUCAGACUCCAUUCCUGUCUCAAGCAGCCCCAAACAAGGUUGUGUGCUGGCUCCCACGCUGUUUUCCUUCUUUUUCUUGGCUGUGCUGGCUGAGGCAUUUUGCUGACAUUGAGAGAGGAGUAUUUAUUUAGUUCUAUACCAAUGGAAAGUUUCUCCAUCUGCAGUGCCGCUCAUCAGAGAUCUUCUUUUUUCAAAUGACUUUAUGCUGGUAACCUCUUCAGCUGAAGACAUUUGUUUAAUCAAUGACCAUUUUGCUGAGCACUCGGUCAAUUGGUUUCAUGACUGGACAACAGAAUAUCCAUUGCUGCUUCUCUCCUGUCCAAGAGAGUUGUGCUGGUUAAUAAGAAUGCUGUAUCAGAAGUCCCUGCCUGCUGACGAGACGAGCCAUUGCACGGCUUUGCAUUUUGGCUGUGGUCGCACCUCUGUAGAACAUCCAGGUUGUGAAACUAAGUAAUAAUAAUGUCUGUCAAAACGUCCAGCUCAUAAUAAUCCUUCCUGGUUGUGAGACAUGGGUAACAUACUGUUGCUCCCUCAGAAUACCAAAGCUUAUAUAGCCUAUGUGCUUUGGUUUGUCCUAUUUGUGAGAUUAAAUGAUGAGGGGAAAUACCUAGUACUCAUAUCCAUGUAUAUUGAUGAUUUUUUCCUUGCUGAAAGCUGAAAAUGCCUGAACACCUUACUAUAUGGCCUGAAAAUUCUUAAGGAAAUAUUUUAUGGUCAAACCCACCAAACCAGCUGUUCCCAUUUUGCUGGGAUAAUGCAAAUCCAUCUGGAAAUUGUGCUGGAUUGACCCCCCACUGAGGAGGCAGCAGCCCACAGCUGAGCGAGGUGGUGGCAGUGGCUCUGUAAGCAUCUUUGGAACAAGUUAUGAGUUGCACAAAGAAAGAACACUGUGCCCUGAUAUCCUGGAUAAUUCCACUUGUUCCACGUCCAGCUAUUCUUACGACUUUUGCAUAGGUCUGGUUUCCAGCAUACCUGCCCAAGUUGCCUGUUUUCUGGAUUCAUUUAUGCUGAAAUCAGCAUGGGCCUUCAUCAUUUUGAUGAGAUACCAAGGAAUGCAGCAACGGCUUCAACUCCUGGCCAAAGAGUCUUUAACCUUGUUGCCUGUGGAGGAAAAUGGACAGAAAAGCUACAUUUUAGCUCUGAUGGUUGAAGAUGAGAGACAUGCUGUGGGCUGCUAGCAGCUGUUUCUUUCGAAGACGGUCACAAGCAUGGUAGGUGAAACACCAAUAAAUGGAUAUACAAAGCUGCAUAUAUUUUUCCUUGAUGUAUUCUAACCAGGGAAAACACCAUGCUGUCUGAUUGACCCGGCAUCCACCUUUCAUAUUCCACCUUCACUGAUGUCUAGAGUGGUGAGCAGGAAAGGACCUGUUGGAAAGUGGAUGCUGAUGGAAUGAAUGAGAGAAAAAAGUGAGAGAAAAACUUUUCCUGUAGUUUCUGGAUCUAGCUGAAACUGAGCUGCGGGGGACCUGGCAUUCAGAAGAGCUGUACAUCCAUGUUUGUAACAGAGCUGGAAGAAACAAAACAGUGAACCAGGACAUGCUGUGCACAUACAGCAAUUGAGAUAGCGUGAGCCAAGGAGGUGACUCUGGGUCGUUUCCAGCUCUGACUGCACGUGAGGCUCUAACAGUUACAUUUCAGGCUGGAGCUGCAUCUCAGAGUUUCUCAGUGCCUAUUUGAGAGGACUGUGCUUGAACCUACAGUGGUGUUUGCUGUCUGAGCCUACACUCUGAUUCAAAAGGGGAAGAGUAUCACUGUGGUACCCACCAUGAAGCAGGGAUGGGGAUG